GUAGUCAGCUGUUAAUUUUCUUUUUAUUAAAAAAAUAUAUAUAAUCUGUGCUCUUGGUAAAAAUUCAAAUCGUUAUGGAAUUGUGCAAAGUAAAAGCUGCCAGUUCUUCACUCCCCGCCCACAGUCCCCUUCUGUUUCAGAGGUAACCUCUGCCGGGGAGACUGGUUUUUAGUGGAAAGUUUUGGGAACCUGACAGGUCUGACCGGUUUCUCCCCCCACUUGAGCUGGGGCCACCACGGGCAGCUCUCAGUGACCUGUGGCUGAGAUCUUAUGUGUCCUUCAGCCCCAGGUCCCUCUCAGAGCUGUCUGUGCCCCUUCCUCUAUGCCCGGGUGGCCAGCACCAGUCAGGUCGGCUCCACAGCAGCAGAGUCUGACUGUUGCCAGUGACUUCACCUCUCUGACCUGCAGUCUCUUCAUCAGUCUCUUACUUGUUACUCUUCAUCCUUGCUGCCAGGGUGGUCAUGAGGGCUGACUGAGGAACAGGCUGUGCACACGCAGCUCAGGACCUUGUGAGAGCAUCAGGCCUGCCAACAACCCCAUGGUACAACAAGAAAAUGGCUGUGCUGGAGCCCUGGACGCCGGAAAUCUGAGAUGAAGGUGCCGGCAGGGCCCUGCCCGCUCUGAAGUCUCUGGGGGAAGCUUCUUUGCCUCUUCCAGCUUCUGGUGGCUCCACGCACUGCUGGGCUCGUGGCUGCCUCCCUCUGGUCUCUGCCCCGGUCUGCACGUGGCCUUCCCUGCGUGUUUCUGUGUCCUUGCUGCUGCUUAGAAGCACAGCAGCCAUUGGAUUAGGACCCACUCUCAUCCAGCAUGGCCUCAUCUUAACUCAUUACGUCUACAAAAUCUCCAUUUCCAAAUAAGGUCCCAUUCUGGGGUCCUGAGUGGACACGGCGGGGACACCAUCAACCCAUCCUAAGGCCUUCUUGGGCAGCCUCAGGGGGAAGCCGGACCAGCCUUAAGUGAAAGUGGAGGGUUCCAAGGAUCCUACAAAGGGGCCCUGACCCAGUCGGUGGGCAGCAGGGGACAGAGUGGACGUGGAACUUGUAGACAGACAGAACGAUGCACAGGACUCACCCCCACCACCAGAGGUCUGUGUGCAGAGACGACAGAGGGCAGCGUCCCUCCCACUGCCCAUCACCCAUGGAGUGUGGAAAAUCCCGGUCAAGACAGCAGCCCGGGCCGUGAAAUCGAAUCUGGGGGUCCCAAGCAUCGGCGUUUGUGCAGCUCUCGGUGGUUCCAAAGUCAGCCAAGAUCUCGGUUCUGGGCCGCCAGGGGCUCUGGAGUCAGACACCUCGUGUCUAAGUCUCCACCAGUUACUGACCGAGCGACCUCAGCAGUACGUUCACCGCUCCGGGUGUCCCUGUCCCCUGUGGAUGGCAUCAUUGCCUCCCUUAUGGAGAUGAGAAGAAUCAAACGGGAACGUUGGCUCCGUGCCUGUCACGAGGGAAGUGCUUGAUAGACGGUGCCCUUCUGCGCCACGUAGAGAGAAAACCGAGGGAGCCUCAUUUAAACUGCAGGCCUGGGAAGGCCUGUGGACUUUCAGGGAAGCUGAGAAGGGGCCCUGGCACCGGUCUGCAUGCCAGCUGGGCAGGGCAGGGUGAGCCUGGUGCAUAUACCUGGGGCCACACAGCAGGGCCUCAUGCUUCUUUUUUGGACCCACUUGACGGAUGGGGAGACUGAGUUCAGAGAGGCCAAGUGGCUUGCCAGGGUCACGCAGCUGAUACACAGCAAAUGGAUUUUAAACCCACCUGACCGCAAUUCCAAGCAUUGUUUUCUUGGGUCAAACCUUGGGAGCUCAAAGGGUGAUCCUGACCUGUGAUGGCUCCAUUUUAUGCAGAAUAUUUUGUUUUGUUUUUUAAUUUGCCUGUUUACUCUAAUGUUCCCAGUCGUUUUCCUCCCAGGGAUCCUCACUCACAAGUGGACUCUGACGGCCUCGGGGGCUCAGAUUUCACAAUCGGCUAAGGCUAACAUAAGGCCUUCCAGGUUACAAGGCUGAAAGUUAUUUUCCAUCAUUCAUUUGUUCACUUUACAUAACAUGCACCUAUUGAGCACCUGCUGUAUACUGGGAACCAAGUUAAACACCAGGUUUGCAGAGGUGGACAAGGCCCUGUUCCUGCCUCCAGGGUCUCCAACCCAUCAGGAGACGCAGGCCCUUUGACAGACACUGGUGAUAAAAUGACAGUGGAGGUCUGUUCAAGAUACAGUUCUGGAGGCUGGGAUAUCCAAACUCAUGGUGCCGGCAGAUUCGUGUCUGGUGAGGACUGUUUUCUCUGCUUCAAGAUGGAGCCCUGUUGCUGCAUCUUUUCUAGGAAGAUGAACACUGUCCUCCUAUGGUGGAACAGAAGGGAAAAAGGCAUGAACGGCUCCCUUGUGCCUCUCAUAUAAGGUCACUAAUCCCAUUCUCAAGGGCUCCACCCUCAUGACCUAAUCACCUCCCAAAGGCCCCACCUGUUAAUGCUAUGGCAUUGCUGGUUAUGUUGCAACAUAAGAAUUUGGGCGGACACAUUCAGACCAUAGCAGGCACCAUUAGUAAGCCCAUCUUAUGGAUCAGGAAACCAGAACACAGGGAGGUUCGGCAAUUUGUCCGAGGUCACACAGCCAGGAUUGGGUGUGGGUCCCAGCUCUUCUGGCAGUGCUGGUUUUGGGCACUUUAUUUCAUCUCUUUCUGCUUGUCUUCUCAACUCUUACAUGCGAAGACCACGGUACAGCUCUUAUUACUGUAGUUGUCCCGGGGAGACCCGUGUGUCCGUGGCAUCCACGUGGCAGAUGCUGUGCCCAGGCCGUGGACUCUGGAUAGGCUCAGGCCUAUGACUUUACCUGCCACUCUCUCUUCCAGCGGUCCCAGUGCCCCUAGUCCCCAAGGGCAGUCAGCUCCUUUUUUUUUUUUUGAGACAGGGUCUUACUCUGUCACCCACGCUGAAGUGCAGUGAUGUGAUCAAGGUUCACCGCAGCCUUGACCUCCCCAAGCUCAGGUGAUCCUCCCACCUUAGCCUCCCAAGUAGCUAGGACUACAGGUGCAUGCUACCAUGCCCAGCAAAGUUUUAUACAUGUAUAUAUUUUUCCAGAGACAGGGUCUCGCUAUGCUGGUCUUGAACUCUGGGACUCAAGUGAUCUGCACACCUCAGCCUCCCAAAGUGCUGAGAUUACAGACAUGAAACACUGCGACCGGGCGACUUCCCUUAUAAUCACAUUCCUGAUUACACUUAGGGCCCAUCCAGAUACUCCAGGGUAAUCUCUCCAUCUCAGGGUCCCUAACUUAAUCCCAUCUGCAAAGACUUUUGCCUUCUAAGGUAACCUCCACAGGUUUCAGGGAUGCGGACCUGGGUAUCUCUGGGGGCCAUGAUAUCUAGUAUGAUUAUUUAUUGUUAUUGAUUAUUCAGCUUACUGCAGUGUACACAUGGCCACGGGACCACCACUCUUUGGUCUAUGGCUGUCAUCUGUGAAGAGCUACAGCACUUUUUCCACUGAGCCUGAAUAUGCAGCCUCAGAAGCCUUGUUGUCAUUGUUGCUGUUUGAGACGGGGUCUCACUAUGUUGCCCAGGCUACUCGCCAACUCCUGGGCUCAAGUAAUCCUCCCGCCUCAACCACCCACCCCCGCCUGAGUAGCUGGGACUACAGGUAUGCACCACCAUACCUGGCUAAAUUUUUAAAAUUAUUUUGCAGAGACAGUCCCACUAUGCUGCCUGGGCUGGUCUCAAACACCUGGCCUCAAGCAAUCCUCCUGCCUCAGCCCCACAAAGUACUGGAAUUACAAGCAUGAGCCACCUUGCCUGGCCAGAAUGUUUCUUAAUUUCCAAGUUGUUAGGCUGUUGGUCAUCUUUUUUUUUUUUUAAUUCCUCAUGUUAUUAGACUAUGAUCAGAGAAGUGUUCUAUAAAAUCUCUGCUUUUUAAAAUCUGGCCAAGUUUUUGUUUUGGUCGAGUAUAUAAGACAUGUUUGCAGCUAAUCGAUGGAUGUAAGAACAAUUCCCCACUAAACAGCGACAUGAUUCUAUCAGUCAAUUCCUUCAUUUCCUUCUUGUCUUUUUUGUCUGUUUAAUUCUGCAGAUGUAUUAAAAUGCCUUCUGUAAUCUCUCCGGUUUUCUUGCCUUGAUGAUGGGAAUCAGUUUCCACCCCUAGGGUCUGGCAAGGAGGCCAACCCGACCCAGUGCCUUCUCCGCUACUGAAACCUGUGACACAAAGGAACCUAGGACUUCCACACGCUGGACCCCCAGCCUAUGUGCCAGAGCAGGAAGUCAGGAGCUGGAUGGAGGUCUCCUCAGAAGGGAGUCAGGCCACAUUGUUCCAUAAUGCUCUGCUGUAAUCAGCCCUUCUGUGUUUGAGAGCUUUCAAAAAGAGCUGACUGGCCAGGUGCAGUGGUCAGGAGUUCC
rnacentral:lncRNA from 10 species